CCUACGGGUGGCUGCAGUGGGGAAUAUUGCACAAUGGGCGCAAGCCUGAUGCAGCCAUGCCGCGUGUGUGAAGAAGGCCUUCGGGUUGUAAAGCACUUUCAGCGGGGAGGAAGGCGGUGAGGUUAAUAACCUCAUCGAUUGACGUUACCCGCAGAAGAAGCACCGGCUAACUCCGUGCCAGCAGCCGCGGUAAUACGGAGGGUGCAAGCGUUAAUCGGAAUUGCUGGGCGUAAAGCGCACGCAGGCGGUCUGUCAAGUCGGAUGUGAAAUCCCCGGGCUCAACCUGGGAACUGCAUUCGAAACUGGCAGGCUAGAGUCUUGUAGAGGGGGGUAGAAUUCCAGGUGUAGCGGUGAAAUGCGUAGAGAUCUGGAGGAAUACCGGUGGCGAAGGCGGCCCCCUGGACAAAGACUGACGCUCAGGUGCGAAAGCGUGGGGAGCAAACAGGAUUAGAUACCCUUGUAGUC
rnacentral:rRNA from 1 species